GUUGUAUUAAGACUACAAAAACAGGUAACCAGAUAUCCUAAACUCUUAUUUGGCACACGCUUUAUGAAUGUAAAGGAUCUGUGUCUAAAUGCAGAUACUUAGACACUGAUUAUAGUUUGUGUCAGCGAGUUUCAGGUGAACCCAAGUGUUUUGAUCUCCAAUUCCGACCCCAUACAACCUGGCUGGUUCUUUGAAAUUCCUACUCUCAGGGGGCAUUGAUAAAUAAAACUUCAAGUACCACCUCUUCCCUAGGCAUCCUACUAUUCGAUGCAUGUAAAGCAAUUUCUGGUAGUGGAAAACCAUGGAACAUAUGUGGUAAUCUUAAGUAUGAACAAACCUAUGGGUUUAAUGAUAAAUACCUAUGCCCUAGUAUAAGAAC